UACGUAGGGGGCAAGCGUUGUCCGGAUUUAUUGGGCGUAAAGCGCGUGUAGGCGGCCACGCAGGUCCGCUGUGAAAACUCGAGGCUCAACCUCGAGCUGUCGGUGGAAACCGCGUGGCUAGAGUCCGGAAGAGGGGACUGGAAUUCCCGGUGUAGCGGUGGAAUGCGCAGAUAUCAGGAGGAACACCAAUGGCGAAGGCAGCUCGCUGGGACGGUACUGACGCUGAGACGCGAAAGCGUGGGGAGCAAACAGG
rnacentral:rRNA from 1 species